rnacentral:tRNA from 2 species
GGAGAGCUGUCCGAGUGGCCGAAGGAGCACGAUUGGAAAUCGUGUAGGCCGUUAUCGCGGCCUCGAGGGUUCGAAUCCCUCGCUCUCCG